UGACAUCGAACCCAGAGAUCUGUCUGC
rnacentral:piRNA from 1 species